CUCGCUGUGUGACUGAACCAGUACCUGAUAAAGGCCCUUCCAAGAAGAUUCAAGAGCAGUUUUCUCCAGUGUCUCUUCCAAUAGUUGAAAUCUCCUGGUGGAAGGUUAUGAAGAGGUUGUUUAGGAAGACAUUGUGGGAAGGUGUUCUUCACUUUUGAUGACAGAGGUGGAGGACUGUACCCCAGAGGAGAGCUUCAAUUAGUGGUGGCAUAUCCUGCUUGAUAACCUCCCCUUGCAGUUUUGAGGCCUGACACAUCAACAAAUAAUGUUAGGUCAGGGUUCUCAAUGGGAGCCUCUGAUGAACCUGAGCGAGGCAUAGAAAGGUCCCCAAAGUAAGACAAGCCUGAGGUCCCCCUUCUUCUGGUAGGGGCAGAUGAGUGGCAAGAUUUGGGACACUGGAGCAGUGAAUAGCAAUGUGAGAGGGAGAAUGUAACAAAAUCUCCUGAGAGGUCAAAAGGCUGUUUGGGAGGUGCGUGUCCUCAGUCACUGGAAAUAUCUGUGCUGCAGGAGGAACCAUUAGGUCCGCCCAUGAGGACACCUCAGCAGAGGCUCCUGAAGAAGACCUCUGCCCAGGGCCGCAGAUAGAGACCUGGGACUGUCAAUACUGAGAAGAGCUUGACGUUCAGCAGAUCUGAGUCCUUGACUGCAACUGCCCUUGGAGACUGCAGUGCACAGGCUGGGCGUUCUCUGAGUGGAGUCUUAUCAGUCUGCUGCUUUUGGUGGAAUGUAUUCUCCUGUUGACAAGAGGAAGAUUAGCCUUGAGCUAAUUACUGCCAAUCCUCUUCUUUUUUGCUGAGGAAGACUGCCCCUGAGCUAACAUCCAUGCCCAUCCUCCUCUACCUUAUAUGUGGGACGCCUACCACAGUAUGGCUUUUGCCAAGCGGUGCCAUGUCCACAUCUGGGAUCCAAACCGGCAAACCUCGGGCCACUGAGAAGGAGAAUGUGUGAACUUAACCACUGUGCCACCAGAAUGGCAGCACACUGGUCCAGGCCAGGUGAAUUAGCACAUACAUGGGGGUCAUCACACUGUUGAAGGAGUACAAAAAAGGUUCUGGCAGUUUUGUGGACCCUGGGGCUGGGGAGAGGAUGAGGGAGAAGGGCCAGGAAUGGAAAAAUUCUGGAUGCUGAAUCAGAGUGUGGAAAAUUGUCUUCAAGGUUCUUCUCUUCCCCUGUAAGGAGACCUCAGCAGAAGUGCCCGAGGAAGACCUCUGUCCAAGGCCUCAGAUAAAGAGACCUAGGAAUGGCAGCACUAGAGCUAGGAAUGCAAACAUGGAACAGCAUGCCUAGCCAGAUGAGGCCUGUCAGACAAGGACGUGUUCUCCAGGAAAGUUUCGAGAGGGAGGAGGCCUGUGCUGGACUUCUCUGUCUCCAAGGAAGGGUUAAUGUUGGGGUGGUCAGACUCUCUGAAGCUCCAGGAUCGGCAUUCAUGUGGUUUAUGGAAAUUCUGAAGACUGCACAUAUGCUCCAUUUGUAGAUGUUUUAUAUUUUCUAAAGGAGUUUUCUUUCCAUAGAGUAAGUUCCCUAUUUUUAAUAACCUCUCAAGCAGUAUUUCACAUAGGGGAGGUGCAUCAAGAAAAGCAAUUUCUAGUGGCAAAUAGCUGAGUAGCUUUUCUUGUCUUUUUUCUUAUGGAUACAGCUCAUAAUAUGAACUUGACUGUAAGCUUCUUGAGAAAAGGGGCAAUGUUUUCUACCUUCUGUGUUUAUGUCAGUACCCAGUUCAUUACUCCAGACAUAACAAGUGGAAUGUGACUGGUCUUUUUACAGUCUCCAUAUUUUUUUAUAUUUCACUCUGUAUUAUAAAAGUAAAUGAAUGGGUGAUAGUUGCACAAGAGUGUGAAUGUACUUAAUGCCAUUGAACUAUGCUUUAAAAAGGGUUAAAAUGGAAAAAAUUUUAAAAAACAGGUGAUGGCAUCUUUGGAACACUGCCU
ensembl:lncRNA